ACAAUUUGUCCAUGAUAAUUGAAGUGUAUAUUACAAAAGAGGCUGCUCACUUUGAUUUUCUAAAUUAUCAAGGCGGUCCACUCUACAAAAUAAGAAUGAUCGAGCCCAAGUGAUAUUUUCAAAGACCAGCAGACCGACAGACAAUACAUAUAUCGCCAAUUUCGUUCAUCCAACAUCAAAUCACCCUCAUCCAGUAAGGUAGAAUAUCACAGUAAGAGUACUAUGGGGGAUGUCGUACUAUUUACAAUUUGGAUUACAGUAAAUACAAUGUA